CCAAUAGCGUAUAUUAAAGUUGUUGCAGUUAAAAAGCUCGUAGUUGAAUUUCGGGAUCAAUAUGUUGGUCGUGCCUUGGUACGUACUGGCAUUAUUGGUUUCUACCUUCUGAAGAACCUCGAUGUCAUUAAUUUGGUGUCUUGGGGAAUCAGGACUGUUACUUUGAAAAAAUUAGAGUGUUUAAAGCAAGCUCACGCUUGAAUACAUUAGCAUGGAAUAAUGAAAUAGGACGUUUGAUUCUAUUUUGUUGGUUUCUAGGAUCGACGUAAUGAUUAAUAGGGAUAGUUGGGGGCAUUAGUAUUCAAUUGUCAGAGGUGAAAUUCUUGGAUUUAUUGAAGACUAACUACUGCGAAAGCAUUUGCCAAGGAUGUUUUCAUUAAUCAAGAACGAAAGUUAGGGGAUCGAAGACGAUCAGAUACCGUCGUAGUCUUAACCAUAAACUAUGCCGACUAGGGAUCGGAUGAUGUUAAUUUUUUAAUGACUCAUUCGGCGCCUUACG
rnacentral:rRNA from 1 species